CAAGGGGGCCGCCUAUAGCUUGUUCCUGGGGCGGAAGAAGGUAAAUUGGACCCUGAAAAACGGCGGCGGGUGAGUAAUGCCUAGGAAUCUGCCUGGUAGUGGGGGACAACGUUUCGAAAGGAACGCUAAUACCGCAUACGUCCUACGGGAGAAAGCAGGGGACCUUCGGGCCUUGCGCUAUCAGAUGAGCCUAGGUCGGAUUAGCUAGUAGGUGAGGUAAUGGCUCACCUAGGCGACGAUCCGUAACUGGUCUGAGAGGAUGAUCAGUCACACUGGAACUGAGACACGGUCCAGACUCCUACGGGAGGCAGCAGUGGGGAAUAUUGGACAAUGGGCGAAAGCCUGAUCCAGCCAUGCCGCGUGUGUGAAGAAGGUCUUCGGAUUGUAAAGCACUUUAAGUUGGGAGGAAGGGCAGUAAGCUAAUACCUUGCUGUUUUGACGUUACCGACAGAAUAAGCACCGGCUAACUCUGUGCCAGCAGCCGCGGUAAUACAGAGGGUGCAAGCGUUAAUCGGAAUUACUGGGCGUAAAGCGCGCGUAGGUGGUUCGUUAAGUUGGAUGUGAAAGCCCCGGGCUCAACCUGGGAACUGCAUCCAAAACUGGCGAGCUAGAGUAUGGUAGAGGGUGGUGGAAUUUCCUGUGUAGCGGUGAAAUGCGUAGAUAUAGGAAGGAACACCAGUGGCGAAGGCGACCACCUGGACUGAUACUGACACUGAGGUGCGAAAGCGUGGGGAGCAAACAGGAUUAGAUACCCUGGUAGUCCACGCCGUAAACGAUGUCACUAGCCGUUGGAUCCUUGAGAUUUUGUGCGCACUAACGCAUUAAUUGACCGCCUGUGGAGUACGGCCGCAAGGUAAAACUCAAUGAAUUGACGGGGCCGCACAAGCGCGGAGCAUGUGGUUUAAUUCGAACAACGAAAAAACUUACACGCCUUGACUGCAGAGAACUUUACAAAAAGGAUGGUGGCUUCUGUACUCUAACAAGAUACUGCAUGGGAGUGUCGCUCCUGCUCGUCGAUGCUGGAUAAGUCUCUAACCACAGA
rnacentral:rRNA from 1 species